UAAUAUAUUCGGGGCAUAUCUCCCUCUAGUUGUAAUAGAUCUCCAUUUGACUGCUCAAAACCUUUUAUUUUUUGCUAGUUUGCCUAUAUUAGUCUAGUUUAGGAGCGGAUUGAAUUUGAUUUAAGGUGUAAGAAAAUAAUUUUCAUAAAUAUAUU
rfam:Populus trichocarpa isolate Nisqually-1 chromosome 17, whole genome shotgun sequence.